rnacentral:rRNA from 1 species
CCUACGGGCGGCAGCAGUCGAGAAUCAUUCACAAUGGGGGAAACCCUGAUGGUGCGACGCCGCGUGGGGGAAUGAAGGUCUUCGGUUUGUAAACCCCUGUCAUGUGGGAGCAAAUUAAAAAGAUAGUACCACAAGAGGAAGAGACGUCUAACUCUGUGCCAGCAGCCGCGGUAAUACAGAGGGCUCAAGCGUUGUUCGUAAUCACUGGGCGUACAGGGUGCGUAGGCUGUGUCUUAAGUCGGGUGUGAAAGGCUCGGGCUCAACCCACGGACGGCACAUGAUACUGGGAGACUAGAGUGCGGGAGGGGGAACCGGAAUUCUCGGUGUAGCAGUGAAAUGCGUAGAUAUCGAGAAGAACACUCGUGGCGAAGGCAGGUUUCUGGACAUUUACUGACGCGGAGGAACGAAGGCCAGGGGAGCGAAAGGGAUUAGAUACCCGGGUAGUC